rnacentral:rRNA from 1 species
AACGAACGCUGGCGGCAUGCCUAACACAUGCAAGUCGAACGAGACCUUCGGGUCUAGUGGCGCACGGGUGCGUAACGCGUGGGAAUCUGCCCUUGGGUUCGGAAUAACAGUGAGAAAUUACUGCUAAUGCCGGAUGAUGUCUUCGGACCAAAGAUUUAUCGCCCAGGGAUGAGCCCGCGUAGGAUUAGCUAGUUGGUGGGGUAAUGGCCUACCAAGGCGACGAUCCUUAGCUGGUCUGAGAGGAUGAUCAGCCACACUGGGACUGAGACACGGCCCAGACUCCUACGGGAGGCAGCAGUGGGGAAUAUUGGACAAUGGGCGCAAGCCUGAUCCAGCAAUGCCGCGUGAGUGAUGAAGGCCUUAGGGUUGUAAAGCUCUUUUACCCGGGAUGAUAAUGACAGUACCGGGAGAAUAAGCUCCGGCUAACUCCGUG